GUGGGGAAUAUUGGACAAUGGGCGAAAGCCUGAUCCAGCCAUGCCGCGUGUGUGAAGAAGGUCUUCGGAUUGUAAAGCACUUUAAGUUGGGAGGAAGGGCAGUAAGUUAAUACCUUGCUGUUUUGACGUUACCGACAGAAUAAGCACCGGCUAACUUCGUGCCAGCAGCCGCGGUAAUACGAAGGGUGCAAUCGUUAAUCGGAAUUACUGGGCGUAAAGCGCGCGUAGGUGGUUUUGUAAGUUGGAGGUGAAAUCCCCGGGCUCAACCUGGGAACUGCCUCCAAAACUGCAUGACUAGAGUACGGUAGAGGGUAGUGGAAUUUCCUGUGUAGCGGUGAAAUGCGUAGAUAUAGGAAGGAACACCAGUGGCGAAGGCGACUACCUGGACUGAUACUGACACUGAGGUGCGAAAGCGUGGGGAGCAAACAGGAUUAGAAACCCGUGUAGUCC
rnacentral:rRNA from 1 species